rnacentral:tRNA from 1 species
GCUCUCUUAGCUCAGUGGAUUAGAGCACUUGACUACGGAUCAAGGUGUCCUAGGUUCGAAUCCUAGAGAGAGCG